rnacentral:misc_RNA from 1 species
CCGAGUGAGGGCCCUCUGGGUCCAACCUCCCACCCGUGUUUAUCGUACCUUGUUGCUUCGGCGGGCCCGCCGCAAGGCCGCCGGGGGGCUUCCGUCCCCGGGUCCGCGCCCGCCGAAGACACCUGUGAACGCUGUCUGAAGAUUGCAGUCUGAGCGAAAAGCUAAAAUGUAUUA